CGAUAAAUUAAGUACCAGUUACACACUGGGGUCAAUGUAAUCGACUAGUCCCCUCCCCACAAAUUUCAGGCCCUUGUGCCUAUAAUAGAAGGGAUUAUUAUCAUUAUUAUUAUUAUCAACAUCAUUGUGGUGGCAAGUUUGUCGAUUCAGUUGAGGUGCAGAACUAUCUUACAGUUAAUCCUUUUUUAAUUACUCUCCCCUCCACUUACCCAUUUCAGUUUGCCCUGGGGUACAGAGAAGGUGAACAUUUGACUAUGGUUUUCACCCACCUUUCAUCACCUUCACUUUUUUUUGUGGUAAAUAAACUUUAAAAUACCUGUUGUAUACCUGUUGUAUGUCAGGGAAGAAAGCACGACAUAGAGGGAUACAUUUCAAUUGAAUCUACUUUUUAUUUUUUUUAUAGAAAUCCACAUUAUUAUCAUCGUCAUCAUCAUCAUCAUCAAAGCAAUGAGCUGGCAGAAUUGUUAGCACACUGGGCGAAAUGCUUGGCAUCAUUUCAUCCAUAUCCUUACAUUCUGAGUUCAAAUCCUGCUGAGGUUGGCUUUGCCUUUUUAUCUUUCCAAUGGUCAAUAGAAUACCAUUUGAGUACAGGGAUCAAUGUAAUUAACUUACUCCUUCCCUUGUUGAACUCCCUCCCUUUAAAUCUGGCCACGGUUGAAGAAAUAUGAACCAGGUAGGGAGUGGGGGAAGGGGAGGGGUGAACUCACAAGAUGUUCACUCUGCAACACUUAAGUUCUGUAUCUGUACUCUCAAUUUCAUCCUUGUAUUGUCCCCAUCUGAAGCUUUUGCUGCCCUUAAAAGAAAUUAUUAUUAUUAUUAUUAUCAUCAUCAUUAUUAUAUAAAGCGGCAAGCUGGCAGAAUCGUUAGCACACCAAGUGGAUUGCUUAGUGGUAUUAUGUCUGCCGCAACAUUCUGAGUUCAAAUUCUUCCGAGGUCGACUUUGCCUUUUGAUCCUUUCAAGGUCGAUAAAUUAAGUACCAGUUAUGCACUGAGGUCUCUGUAAUCGACUGUCCCCUUCCCCUAAAAUUUCAGGCCUUGUGCCUAUAAUAGAAAGGAUUAUUAUUAUGCACACCGCAGUGGAUUAGCAGAAUGGUCAGAGCAUCAGACAAAAUGCCUUAAGGUAUAACUCGUGAUCAGAGUUCAAAUCCUGCUGAGGUGAACUUUUCCUUUCAUCCCAUCAGGGUUGAUAAAGUAUUUGCCAGUUGAGUUUCUGGGGUUGAUGUUAUUGACUUACCCCAUCACCUAAAAUUGCUGGCAUUGUGCCAAAAAUUUGAAACCAUUAUUAUUAUUAUUAUUAUUAUUAUUAAUUGGGUUGGUGGAGGCAAGCUUCCAGAAUUCUUAGCAGACAGGACAAAAUGCAAAGCUACAUUUCUUGUAGUUUUACAUCUUGAGUUCAGAUUCCACCGAGGCUGACUUUGAAUUUCAUCUUUUGAGGAACAAGAAAUCAAACACUUGUUGAACAUUGGGGUCGAGGUAAUUGAUUAGUCCCCUCUCCUGAGAAUUUCAGGCCCUUGUGCUUAUAGUGGAAAGGCUUAUUUGGUAAGAAUGAGGAUUGGCAAAAAUGGUGCAAGAUUCCUUCCAUCCCCCGACAUCCGUGUUUGAAUCCUCUUCUGUAGGGUUCACUUUACCCCUCAUCCAUCUUCUUUUGUCCCAGGAGUAAGUAAGGGAGUAGGGAGGUUGAUAUAUAAGUGAAUAUACCCCCUCCCCUUAAUUUGAGGCUUUAUGCUUAAUUCCCCUUUUGUAAUGUUCCCAUCCAACCUCGUUGUCUGUCGCCCUUGUUGCAAAUAAAAGAAAAAAAGGAUAAUUAUUAUUAUUAUUAUUAUUAUUGCUGCUAUUGGUCGUUGCAGUGCGAGAGACUCUGAUAGUCUUUUACUGACCAUUCCCAUGAGACUCCCUCCUCACACGAAACCCUUUUUCUUUGUUUUGUUUUGAUUUUUUUUUAUUAUUUAAAACAAAAAUACAAAAUUGUGAAAAACUUUAAAAAAAAAAUGUCUGUUUUACUUAAAAAAAUGAUAUUUUGUAAGGAAAAAAUACCGAAAAAAAUGCUUUGAUUUUUUCACAUUUAUCAACGUCAUUAUUAUAUAUGGAUCUAAUAAAGAACUAAGAAUUAUUA
rnacentral:lncRNA from 1 species